GGCCACAUACAGGAGGUAGGAGACAGAGGCCUCCACGGUGGACGAUCGUGGCGUGAAGUCCACGUUGACCACGUUGUCGGUGCUGGGGGAGCGGAUGAAGGCCAGGGACCCGCGGCGCUCUCCCUGUGGUCAGGAAGCAGCCCGGAGACCCUAAAACUCCAUUGGCCUCAUGUCCAGAACUGAAUCAGCCAGUGCCAGAGCCUGCUGCAGCCCCGACCCGGCAGAGCAAGCGGCUCUGCUACCUCAGCCACGUAGCUGAUGGCAUCCUUCAGGUUCAGCUCGUGGAAGACAUUCAGGAUCCGGUCUCGAGACUUCUGGGCCGACCGUCUCAUGAGGACCCUGCUGAGGAACUUCCUGUCGAAGUGGGACCACCUGUAGGGACAGACCUUGGGUGUGAGCCUCAGUGACCCUGUAGGCGCGUUUAAAAUGAGGGAAGCAGCCCCUGCCACACGCCCAGGCCGUCCGCCGUUCUCCCGCCUGUCCUGUUGGAUGGAGGCCGUUAGACGCAUAUGAAACUGCAUGCCGCCUCCUCCAGAGGGUGGCUCAGGACACGCCUAACGGAAUUAGAGUAUUCGCUGGUUAUCCAGAUCAGAAGGGACGGUGGCCUGGCCGGACUUAGAGGAAACUCUGGG
rnacentral:lncRNA from 1 species